AUUGAACGCUGGCGGCAGGCCUAACACAUGCAAGUCGAACGAGUGGCGGACGGGUGAGUAAUGUCUGGGAAACUGCCUGAUGGAGGGGGAUAACUACUGGAAACUGUAGCUCAUACCGCAUACCAUCAGAUGUGCCCCGAUGGGAUUAGCUUGUUGGUGGAGUAAAGGCUCACCAAGGCGACGAUCCAUCGCUGGUCUGAGAGGAGGACCAGCCACAAGGGAACUGAGAAACGGUCCAGAAUCCUACGGGAGGCAGCAGUGGGGAAGAUUGUACAAUGGGGGAAAGCCUGAUGCAGCCAUGCCGCGGGUAUGAAGAAGGCCUUCGGGUUGUAAAGUACUUUCAGCGGGGAGGCGUUAACCGCAGAAGAAGCCCCGGCUAACUCCGUGCCAGCAGCCGCGGUAAUUC
rnacentral:rRNA from 1 species